rnacentral:rRNA from 1 species
AUGGUCAAUAUCCGCGUAACCGGCGUCUGCUUUAGGCUCACGUCCGUAUAUGGGCCAACUGAUCACGCCUGCAAAGAUGCUUUCUUUGCCGAGCUAAUCUCCCACAAGCCACCCAAUUGGAUUGCCUGGCUGGCCCUUGGGGAUUUUAACCAAAUUUACCGUGCUAGGGACAAAAACAAGAGAAAUUUUAACCGGAGUAGGAUCAAUCGCUUCCGGGCUGCCUUGCAAUCUUGUGAGCUCAAAGAAAUUCACCUACAGAAUAGGCGUUUCACUUGGAGCAAUGAGCGGGACAACCCAACUCUUUGCAAGCUUGACUCCUUCUUCUGUAAUGGGGAGUGGGAUAUGUGCUUCAACACCCAUGUGCUACAUGCUCUGUCGUCUUCCCUGUCCGACCAUUGCCCCCUCCUCCUGGCGGAUGACAAAGGGCCUAGAAGACCUUGA